rnacentral:rRNA from 1 species
UACGUAGAGAGCAAGCGUUGUCCGGAAUUACUGGGCGUAAAGGGCGCGUAGGCGGGAAUUUAAGUUAGAUGUGAAAACUCUGGGCUCAACCCGGGGACUGCAUUUAAAACUGGAUUUCUUGAGGGCAGGAGAGGAAAGUGGAAUUCCUAGUGUAGCGGUGAAAUGCGUAGAUAUUAGGAGGAACAUCAGUGGCGAAGGCGACUUUCUGGACUGUACCUGACGUUGAUGCGCGAAAGCGUGGGGAGCAAACGGG